CCUACGGGAGGCAGCAGUGGGGAAUAUUGCACAAUGGGGGAAACCCUGAUGCAGCGACGCCGCGUGAGUGAAGAAGGAUCUCGGUACGUAAAGCUCUUUUAGCCGGGCAGAAAAUGACGGUACCUGACUAGGAAGCCCCGGCUAACUACGGUCCAGCAGCCGCGGUAAUACGUAGGGGGCAAGCGUUAUUCGGAUUUAUUGGGUGUAAAGGGAGCGUAGGCGGCAGCACAAGUCUGGAGUGAAAUCCCGUGGGCUAACCCCUGAACUGCCUUGGAAACUGUCCGGCUGGAGUGCAGGAGGGGUAAGCGGAAUUCCUGGUGUAGCGGUGAAAUGCGUAGAUAUUAGGAGGAACACCGGUGGCGAAGGCGGCUUACUGGACUGUAACUGACGCUGAGGCACGAAAGCGUGGGGAGCAAACAGGAUUAGAUACCCUAGUAGUC
rnacentral:rRNA from 1 species